AAUCAUUAAUUUAUUUUAAGGAAAAUAUAUCUUUCAUUUAUUUCUUUUAAUUUAUUUCUAAAACUGAAAUACAACCCAGGCAUUCCUUUUAUUAUUAUUAAUAGUAGUAUUCAUUUUUUUUACUCGUGUGUAUUUUUUCCUUACAGGUGAAAUUCACCGACUUCGCUCACACAACCCGACUGCGGCGGGUUUUACAGUAAAGAGAGCCAAUCAAAACUACUGGUGUGUUCUUAAAAUGCGCAGAAUCCUGAGAAGGAACCAAUCACAGAGCCUUAAGUGACGUUGACUAUUUGCGCCGGCCAAUCAAGUGACGCCUUUUGAACUCAUUCCACCAAUGGCGUUUCGCGGCGCAGUGUGUCGUCGCUGGUUAGUAGGUUGAGCGAGAAGCGGUCAGACAGUGACAGAGAGAGCUGUCAAAAUGGGAGAACAAGCGGUGAUAAAAAGUAACAACGCUUGCACACAGUCUCUGUCCACGGCUGUUUAAGCAUGUCCACAGAUGACAGCAUCUCUGAGGACGUGUCCAGCUCUGUGGCCUUGAGCCACGAUCAGAUCAGUGCCAAUGGUGGGAAGGAGAGCGAGGCGUCCAUCGUCUCCUCUGAGGACACUGUAUCGGGUCUCCCCGAAGAGGAGCGCUCCGCGUCCCACCCUGAGGGCUUCCUUCAGACCACAGAAGGGGAAACCAGACCCUCCAGCACACCAGCAUGCAGCAUUUCCAACAAAAUAAGAUACACACAGCAUCUCCCGGACGGCUGCUUCAACACUAACUGCGGUUACUGAAACCACGCCCUCUUUCUUUGCAUGAACAUUUGGGCGGCAUUAUGCAAAUAUUUCCACAUAGUGACGUAGAGAUGUGGGGCGUGUUUGAUUAACCAUUUUAGGGGGGGUGUGGCAGAGUUUGAUAAAGAAUAUCUCUUUGGAUUUGAGACUUUAGUCUUUGCAAGUUCACAGAUCUUCUUCAUGCACCAAGAGCUUGUAACACUCCAAAGAGAAAGGACAAAUUGAAAUCGCAUCAUAUGACCCCUUUAAGUGUCUAAAUUUCCUAAUUUUCAAAUGUUAAACCAGCAAGCUUUUAUUUUGGCGAAACAACUUCUCGGAGAUCAGAAGCUUCUAUUUUGUUGACAACAGAUUAUAAACUAUUUUUUAUGGACAGUUUAUAUUUUGAUUAAUCUCUUAGUCCUACCUGAUAUCAUGCAUUGUUGCAUUCAGAAAUCUCUGCUUUUUAAUUUUUGUCUCCAUGUGAUGAACAUCACACAAUGCAGCUGAUCCCUGACAUCACAAAUGAGAUCAUUUAGAAGUGUCUCGAGGGCUUUAAAGUUGGCAUGAUUUUAAAAAUCACCCUGUCUAUCUUCUAAAUGCAUAUUAUAAAAAUUAAUAGUGAUGCAUUGAAAAGAAAUAUUUUAAUUAAUAUUUUAAUAUAUUAUAUAAUAUAUAAUAUGUGCAUAUAUUUAUCAAAAUGCUCCACGACUCUUUCGGAUCUGACUUAAAAUGUUAAAUGAUGAGAUUGGCCAUAUGGCAAUCACAUUUGUAAUGUUUUGUUUUGUUUUGCACUCAAAAUUUCACACUGAAGCCUUAACUAGCCCAUCUAACCAGAACACACCAAUUUAUCUGUCUUAUUAUUUCCUCCAAGUCAUUGCAUCCACAGAAUCUGAUUUUUUUCCUCUUACAUACUGACACAUUGACAGUGUUUUUUUCUGAUUCCAACAGGGCCGGUGGCUUCAUCUCUUUCAGUUAGUGGAAAAGCAAUAUCAAGAGCAAAUCCUUGCUCAGCAGGACCAGU
ensembl:lncRNA